GCGGGGCUGCCGGGAUGCCGCUUACCCUCGGCCGCGCUGGAGCCGGCUGGGGUCCCUCCGGAAGAACAGCCCGCAGCACCACUGCGCCCAGCAGUUCCCCAUCUCAUGCUGAGCUCCGCACUGGUUCUUCCUGCUCCCCUCAAACGCGCUCAGUUCAGACCCACCAUCACACAUACAACACACGGGCGGUGAGCAGGGACCAGACACACACACACACCGCCUCACGGCCGCGGCGCAGCAGCGAACGCCGCAUGCCCGGGCCCUGGCCCCGCCCCGCUCGCUCCAACCCGCCCUGAGGAACAGCCCUGUUCGCCUCAGAGACGGAGCCGCUCAGCACUCCUCGCGGAUCAGGCGUUUAAAAGGCUCCUUUCCUUAAGAAACACCAUUGAAGAAAUACAGACUGGUUGGGUUGGCAAGGACCUUAAGAUCAUCCAGUUCCAACCCCCUGCCAUGGUCAGGAAUACCUCUGAUACACGGAUAGACUCCACAACUCGUUAAAGUUGUAAAAUCUCAGAAGUGGAUUGCAAAGAUGCUCUAGAAAUGAUCUGUGUUGGGGGUCGAGCAUGGGCGCUUGAACAGGCCUACAGCAAGCUGUGAGAAAGUGAACUUAUGACCCCAGGUUAAAAG